GCAGGAAUGGCGGAAUAGGUAGACGCACUACUUUGAGGGGGUAGUGAUUAAUUAAUCGUGCGAGUUCGAGUCUCGUUUCCUGCACCA
rnacentral:tRNA from 1 species